UACGGAGGGUACAAGCGUUGUUCGGAAUUAUUGGGCGUAAAGCGCGCGUAGGCGGGUUCGUAAGUCGAUUGUGAAAGCCCUGGGCUUAACCUGGGAUGUGCAGUCGAAACUGCGAAUCUUGAGUGCCUGAGAGGAUGGCGGAAUUCCCGGUGUAGAAGUGAAAUUCGUAGAUAUCGGGAAGAACACCUGAGGCGAAGGCGGCUAUCUGGCGGUGCACUGACGCUGAGGCGCGAAAGCGUGGGGAGCAAACAGG
rnacentral:rRNA from 1 species